GACGAACCGUGCGAACGUUGUUCGGAAUCACUGGGCCUAAAGGGCGCGUAGGCGGGUCGCCAAGUCCGUGGUGAAAUCCCCCGGCUCAACCGGGGAAGUGCCGCGGAUACUGGCGGCCUCGAGGGGGGUAGGGGCGUGCGGAACUCUGGGUGGAGCGGUGAAAUGCGUUGAUAUCCAGAGGAACUCCGGUGGCGAAGGCGGCGCGCUGGACCCCUUCUGACGCUGAGGCGCGAAAGCCAGGGGAGCGAACGGG
rnacentral:rRNA from 1 species